GAGUUUGAUCGUGGCUCAGAAUGAACGCUGGCGGCAGGCCUAAACAUGCAAGUCGAACGAUGGCUUCGGCCAUAGUGGCGCACGGGUGAGUAGCGCGUGGGAACCUGCCCUGAGGUACGGAAUAACAGCGGGAAACUGCUGCUAAUACCGUAUAUCCCUGCGGGGAAGAUUAUCGCCUUAGGAGGGCCCGCGUCCGAUUAGCUAGUUGGUGAGGUAACGGCUCACCAAGGCUUCGAUCGGUAGCUGGUCUGAGAGGAUGAUCAGCCACACUGGGACUGAGACACGGCCCAGACUCCUACGGGAGGCAGCAGUGGGGAAUAUUGGACAAUGGGGGCAACCCUGAUCCAGCAAUGCCGCGUGGGUGAUGAAGGCCUUCGGGUUGUAAAGCCUUUCGGCGGGACGAUGAUGACGGUACCCGCAGAAGAAGCCCCGGCUAACUUCGUGCCAGCAGCAGCCGCCGU
rnacentral:rRNA from 1 species